AGUAAUCGCAGAUCAGAAUGCUGCGGUGAAUGCGUUCCCGGGUCUUGUACACACCGCCCGUCACACCACGGGAGUUGGAGACGCCCGAAGCCGAUUAUCUAACCUUUUGGAAGAAGUCGUCGAAGGUGGAAUCAAUAACUGGGGUGAAGUCGUAACAAGGUAGCCGUAUCGGAAGGUGCGGCUGGAUCACCUCCUUU
rnacentral:rRNA from 1 species